AGCCAGACAAGAGGGCCAUGGGGAGUCACUAUCAACCCAGAGCAGGCACUGCCCCUGCGACCAGCCUGGGGCAUGGGUUGGGGGCGGGGGUCUGCUGGUGAUGCUUUUCAUCUCUUUGCUUUGUCCUGAUUGUAGC
rnacentral:miRNA from 1 species